UAAAAGCGGACACGCGGUUUACGAGCUUCUCCGUCGCCGCAGCGCGCCGGGGCCGGACGACGCGCGGACUUUGCUUUAGUCCAAGUACUACUAAGAAAAGUGUCUCGGUACUGAUGCUUUUAAACGUCUUCUUGCGCGUUUAAAAAGGGGAAACUUGAUUUUCUUGAAGAGGCAUUUGUGUCCACAACAUUCAACGGCGAGAAUAAGAGACAAACAUAAUUUAACAGUAAGAAAAAAACAAUAAUACGCUAUUUCUCCAAGCCAAAAAUGUCAGUCUCAUCGGCAGCAUUGCGUAUGAACGUGUGCUGCAAGUGAAAAAGAUUUGAUACGUGUAUAUUUUGGGAAUGCAAGCUGUAAGUAGGCAGUCAUUGAAUUUGCAUCUCGAAUAAACGGUGUGUUUAGUAAAAUAAUAUGAAACGUCAAACCUUUGCCGUGCUCAGCUAUUGAUCUGUUUCUACAUGAACACUUCAUGAUCCAUGUAGUACUAAACCUUCAUUUUUCAGCAAAAUAAAAUACUUUAAAUUAAAUAUGUUUUAGUAAUACCCCCCCCCCUCCCCAGCAUAAUAACCAUAAUGCACUGCCACAUUAAAGGGUAGGAUGAAAAAUAAGUGAUGUUAUUAACGAUUGCACAGGCCACAUUAAAUGUGUUAUUUUUUUCUCCAGUAUGUUAAACUCAGCAAACUCUGUAGAGAACCUAUUUUCACUUACAGAACCAACAGAACGUGUCAAUUGCCCAGGAGUCAUCAGAUGGCAAAUGAAACCCAUGUAUUGAAGUUGUGUUUAAAUCUAUGAAGCAGAUUGACACCAUUGGUACAUCUCUUGUAGAUGUACGUAUAACGGUGCAAAUCUCAUGGACAAUUAGGACUUGAGCAUUAUCCACCACUAUGGUGGUGAUUGGCUAAUGACCAGUACUAAUAAAGUGAAAAGUACACACUG